AUACGGAGGGUGCAAGCGUUACUCGGAAUCACUGGGCGUAAAGCGCGCGCAGGCGGCUAUUUAAGUUGGAUGUGAAAGCCUACGGCUCAACCGUAGAACUGCAUCCAAAACUAUUUAGCUAGAGUGUGGGAGAGGAAGAUGGAAUUAGUUGUGUAGGGGUAAAAUCCGUAGAGAUAACUAGGAAUACCAAAAGCGAAGGCAAUUUUCUGGAACACUACUGACGCUGAGGCGCGAAAGCGUGGGGAGCAAACAGGAUUAGAAACCCUUGUAGUCC
rnacentral:rRNA from 1 species